rnacentral:rRNA from 1 species
CAGUAGCCACGGUAAUACGGAGGGUGCAAGCGUUAAUCGGAAUUACUGGGCGUAAAGCGCACGCAGGCGGUUUGUUAAGUCAGAUGUGAAAUCCCCGAGCUUAACUUGGGAACUGCAUUUGUGACUGGCAAGCUAGAGUGUGGCAGAGGGGGGUGGAAUUCCGCGUGUAGCAGUGAAAUGCGUAGAUAUGCGGAGGAACACCGAUGGCGAAGGCAGCCCCCUAGGCCAACACUGACGCUCAUGCGCGAAAGCGUGGGGAGCAAGCAGGAUUAGAUACCCCUGUAGUCCCUGUCUCUUAUAU